UCCCUGAUGGUCUAGUGGCUAGGAUUCGGCGCUCUCACCGCUGCGGCCCGGGUUCAAUUCCCGGUCAGGGAA
rfam:Gasterosteus aculeatus cont1.011332, whole genome shotgun sequence.